rnacentral:ncRNA from 2 species
AUCUUAUCAAGAGUGGUGGAGGGACUGGCCCUUUGAAACCCGGCAACCGAAAUAUUGGUUUAUAAUCAAUAUUUAUAUGGUGCUAAUUCCAGCAGCAAUUUAGCUGAUAGAUGAGAG